GCACGGGUGGCGAAAUUGGCAGACGCAGUGGAUUUAGGUUCCACCGCCGCAAGGCGUAAGGGUUCAACUCCCUUCCCGUGCA
rnacentral:tRNA from 1 species